rnacentral:misc_RNA from 1 species
GAGAAGAACGUAGCGAAAUGCGAUAAGUAAUGUGAAUUGCAGAAUUCAGUGAAUCAUCGAAUCUUUGAACGCACAUUGCGCCCGCCAGUAUUCUGGCGGGCAUGCCUGUUCGAGCGUCAUUUCAACCAUCAAGCCCUGCUUGCGUUGGGGUCCUGCGGCUGCCCGCAGGCCCUGAAAACCAGUGGCGGGCUCGCUAGUCACACCGAGCGCAGUAAUACAUCUCGCUUUGGGCGUGCGGCGGGUUCUUGCCGUUAAACACCCCCUUUUUACCAAGGUUGACCUCGGAUCAGGUAGGAAUACCCGCUGAACUUAAGCAUAUCAAUAGCGGAGA